UCGAGAGUCCAAGUCCAGGCCCUUCCCCUC
rnacentral:piRNA from 1 species